AGUGUGAAGUUUUUUUUUUUCCUUUAAAUUAUUAUUUUCUCAGUCUGCUCCUUCUUGCCAUUCUGCUGUCUUCUCAAAUCCCCUUUUCCUCACGGUGAUGGUCGGGAUGCAUUUGAAGUAACUUUCUAGAAACUUUUGGUUGGUUCCUUUUUUUCUUUUUUUUUUUUUCCUCCUUUUUUCCUUAAAAAGAGGGCUUACACCCAGACACGCACGCACGCACACCGCCACGCACCCCCUGCAGCCAUGCAGCCCCCGUCCCCACCAGUCCAACCAGCCAGAGAUCCAAGGGCUCCAGUGAAGACAUCUGCUAAGAAAUCAACUUCUUCCAUGCAAAUCUCACCAAGGCUCAUCCAGAUCAUCCCCAUUUGCGGGAGUCCCAGCCCGGACCUUGCAAACGCGCUGCUGCAAACGACUUCAUCCACCAGAUCCACCCCACGGGGCACUAUGAAACCAGUGGAAGGAACUGGAUCCAAGAUGACCUUCUCCAGCCCCAUGCACCCACACUUUUUCCUUCCUUCCUUCCCCUGACCACUCACUGACAUUCAACACACACCAGCCCAUCUCAGCCUCAUCUGGCCUCAUGCUGCAAACCACGUGCACAAAGACACUUUGGGAAAAGCUGAUGCCAUGACUUGUCCAUUACCAGCAAGGAGAAACCUGAAAUGAGAUAGUGGCAAGAAACGAGGAGUCAAUAAAAGGAUGGUGAUGGUUUUUAUUUUUAAAUGAGAGCAGCAGUUCUUCAGAGGAACUUCAAAAAACUUGUGUAUGGCCACAUCUGGAGACUGGGAUGGCUAGAAAAUCACAAUCCAUUAAAAAACAUCAACUGAAAAAUUA